AGAGUUUGAUCCUGGCUCAGGACGAACGCUGGCGGCGCGCCUAACACAUGCAAGUCGAACGGAGCUGAGAGGAGCUUGCUUUUCUUAGCUUAGUGGCGAACGGGUGAGUAACGCGUGAGUAACCUGCCCUGGAGUGGGGGACAACAGUUGGAAACGACUGCUAAUACCGCAUAAGCCCACGGAUCCGCAUGGAUCUGCGGGAAAAGGAUUUAUUCGCUUCAGGAUGGACUCGCGUCCAAUUAGCUAGUUGGUGAGGUAACGGCCCACCAAGGCGACGAUUGGUAGCCGGACUGAGAGGUUGAACGGCCACAUUGGGACUGAGACACGGCCCAGACUCCUACGGGAGGCAGCAGUGGGGGAUAUUGCACAAUGGGGGAAACCCUGAUGCAGCGACGCCGCGUGGAGGAAGAAGGUUUUCGGAUUGUAAACUCCUGUCGUUAGGGACGAUAAUGACGGUACCUAACAAGAAAGCACCGGCUAACUACGUGCCAGCAGCCGCGGUAAAACGUAGGGUGCAAGCGUUGUCCGGAAUUACUGGGUGUAAAGGGAGCGCAGGCGGACCGGCAAGUUGGAAGUGAAAACUAUGGGCUCAACCCAUAAAUUGCUUUCAAAACUGCUGGCCUUGAGUAGUGCAGAGGUAGGUGGAAUUCCCGGUGUAGCGGUGGAAUGCGUAGAUAUCGGGAGGAACACCAGUGGCGAAGGCGACCUACUGGGCACCAACUGACGCUGAGGCUCGAAAGCAUGGGUAGCAAACAGGAUUAGAUACCCUGGUAGUCCAUGCCGUAAACGAUGAUUACUAGGUGUUGGAGGAUUGACCCCUUCAGUGCCGCAGUUAACACAAUAAGUAAUCCACCUGGGGAGUACGACCGCAAGGUUGAAACUCAAAGGAAUUGACGGGGGCCCGCACAAGCAGUGGAGUAUGUGGUUUAAUUCGAAGCAACGCGAAGAACCUUACCAGGUCUUGACAUCCGAUGCAUAGUGCAGAGAUGCAUGAAGUCCUUCGGGACAUCGAGACAGGUGGUGCAUGGUUGUCGUCAGCUCGUGCCGUGAGGUGUCGGCUUAAGUGCCAUAACGAGCGCAACCCCCCUCCAUAGUUGCCAUCAGGUGAAGCUGGGCACUCUGUGGACACUGCCACCGUAAGGUGCGAGGAAGGUGGGGAUGACGUCAAAUCAGCACGGCCCUUACGUCCGGGGCUACACACGUGUUACAAUGGCAGGUACAGAGAGCCGGUCGUAUGCAAAUACGAUCCAAUCCUUAAAGCCUGUCUCAGUUCGGACUGGGGUCUGCAACCCGACCCCACGAAGCUGGAUUCGCUAGUAAUCGCGCAUCAGCCAUGGCGCGGUGAAUACGUUCCCGGGCCUUGUACACACCGCCCGUCAAGCCAUGAAAGCCGGGGGCGCCUGAAGUCCGUGACCGUAAGGAUCGGCCUAGGGCGAAACUGGUAAUUGGGGCUAAGUCGUAACAAGGUA
rnacentral:rRNA from 1 species